UUUUUUUUGUGGAUUGUAAAAAUCAGGUUCAGGUUUAAGGUUUUGUCUUGAAAUCAGUUGGCGAUUCGAGCCCCUUUCUUUAACGGGAUUCCCUUUUGUGGGCUUGGUUUUUUUAAUGCCGGGGUCGAGACAAAUGUAUCAACAAAAGAUUUGAGGUUUAUAACUCCGACUAAAUGUCUUAAUUACGAACAUUUGUCUAAAGUUUAUUAGAUUUACCUUUUUAUAUAGAAUUUCCCAUGAAUCAAGAACAUGGGUUACUGAAACAA